CUAAAUGAAUCCUAUAUUUAAUAUCUUCAACCAACAACGUCUACAACUAUUAAUAGUUAUCAAAUAUAUCUUGGAAUUCACUGAAGAUGAAGCAAUAAAAAAGGAUAAAACAAAGUCAGACCUUCAUUGAAUUGUUAGAAAUUGUGGUGCAGAAUCAAAGUGAAGUUUUCUAACUGAACUAAAAACUCUCAACAAAUGGCAAGCUGCGAUGAACCAAUGAAACAAGUGUUUCCUUAAGUAUGAAUGCCGAAGAAAUAAUACAUGUAUAUGACACACACAGGAAAGAAACACUUUCCAUAUUGAAUCAGGAUCAAUCCUUGUUGACCAUGAGGAUAUCUCUCAAGUCUGAGCUAUGUCGGAUCCUCCUUGAGUGACAGUUCCAUAGAAACUCCCGUGCACCUUUGGCCAUAUAAAUGAGAUAGAUUAAUAACACAAACCUGAAAAAAACAAUGAAUCUCCCUUGAGAGCAGAGAAACAGGAAGCACGAGAGGCAAAAUGAGAGGGAGAGGGCUCACCGAGAGGAUUUUCUUAUCGUCACAUCAGCGACAUCCGCUCGAGCCACAUGUCACAAGAAUCGCCCCAACCAUAGACAAAUAAAGCCGAGUCUCCAUGUAGAGAAACAACUAAUGUGAACGUGAGACUGUAAAACAAUUAGGAUGAGUAGCGUGCUAAUUGAUUGUCAACAUAAAUAAUACUUGUAACCAGUGGCAAAUGGCAGUAUACUAUCAGGAAGUGAAGUACAUUGACAUUUUGUAAGCUAUACUAAGGUUAUAGGAUAAGCACACAUUAAAAAAGUAGCAAGAUUAUGGAUUUCUUGAAUAUCAACAAAGUAAUUGGAAUUCCAAAUAUAUGAAGUAUUAGUUAUUACAUAGAUUAGAAAUAGACACGACAACCAUGUAAAAUUUGCCGAUUAAUUAAAGAGAUUCAAGAUGAUUUGGUGCCUUGAAAGAAACCUACACAUCUUAAUUAGCAAACCAGUGACAAUAUUGAAUCGAUGCUGAAGUGUACUCUUCUUUGCUAAGUAUGGAAUUAAUCAAAUAUGGCAGGGAAACAAUCAGAACAGCAAUGGGCGACUCUCGUCGACCAACAUAGGCAACAACUAAGCAAAAAUUGUACUGCAUAAUUGUUGAUAAAGGGCCUGCCGGUAGAGUGUCAGGAGAUGCUGCUCCAAGCAUAUGAUUUCUAGCUCUAGUACUGUAAUCUCCUUUAUGAGCUUCUCAGUAAGCUGACCUGACUUGAAAUAUAGAUAUAGGUUCUUUGAAUCAACAAUCCAAACAUACUCUCAUUCAAAAGACUGCAUAAAAAUUGGAAAGUAACUCGUGAAGAUCACGUGCCUUAACUCUGAAUUUUCUAAUUCUUCCGGCAUCACUAUAUUAGGUGGACAUGGGAGUCGAUGAAUCCCGGGAGAACCAUAUUCCCACUGAGAUUUAGCUCAUACAUUUGGCGGCCCUUGAAUCCAUGUACUCCACUUCACAUCCCACAAUCAAUUUUGAGCAGAACACAAGGGACAAUGUACAGUGACAGAACAAGUGGUUUUGAGAAAUUGAUUACCGGCACAAUAGAAUAAAACAAAACGAAAGAGUUCUGUCACUGUGAUGGACAAAACAAAACGAAAGAUUACCGGCACAAUAGAAUAAAACAAACAAACCUAAUCUCUAGGGGGACAGGGGCAGAAAAUCGGACGGAGACCUUGGGGGAGUCGUAGGAGCCGACGCAGAGCAGGCGGCCCCCGUGGACGGCCAUGGCACCGGCGAAAGAGAGGACCCUCUUAGAGAGCUCCAUGGCUUGGGCGACCUUGGAAGCCGUGAUGAUAUGCUUCAUGUUGUACUAACCGAGACGCCGCCUCCUCCUCCCCUCGAAGAUCCUAGUCCCACCCCCACUACAGAUCACCGUAGCCCCAUGAUCCUUCUCCUCCGUCCCACCUUCCCAGCUUCUCCAGCAGCCAUCUCCACACCCACGACAUCUCCACAUCCCACCAAACCACACGGGGCGGCCGGCCGAUCUGGGCGGAGCCAGUGCCUCCCUCGCAGAGCGCCCCCCUGCUCUGGCUCUUGCAGAUGGUCGUGGAUGGGGAGGAGAAGAUCUCGAUGGUGGUGGGAGGCGGGGAUGAAGACCGCCGCAUCGGGGCACGUCAUGUCCAUAGCAGCUGAUGGCGUGAGGGAAGGGAACGCGUGGGACCUGGCCAAACGGGCCGUGUCUGCCG
rnacentral:lncRNA from 1 species